CAUAAAAAGGGUCUCCCUUAUCGCCGCCUGUUAUUGAGAGCUGAAAAAACACUCUCCUACCUAUCUCCCAAAACCCAAUAAACAAACUAAGAUGGAUCGGGAGAAGCUUAUGAAGAUGGCCACUGCAGUUCGCACUGGUGGAAAGGGUAGUGUGAGAAGG